rfam:Tursiops truncatus cont1.177566, whole genome shotgun sequence.
CUGAGAAGACCCCCUCUUCUGCUGCACAUGCACUCACGUGGAAAAUCUGGUAGACUCUCUAAAACACUUUUCAAAGAUAUCCUUCAAAAUUCAGCC